GUGUCAGCCGCCGCGGUAAUACGUAGGGUGCAAGCGUUGUCCGGAAUUACUGGGCGUAAAGAGUUCGUAGGCGGUUUGUCGCGUCGUUUGUGAAAACCAGCAGCUCAACUGCUGGCUUGCAGGCGAUACGGGCAGACUUGAGUACUGCAGGGGAGACUGGAAUUCCUGGUGUAGCGGUGAAAUGCGCAGAUAUCCGGAGGAACACCGGUGGCGAAGGCGGGUCUCUGGGCAGUAACUGACGCUGAGGAACGAAAG
rnacentral:rRNA from 1 species